GCCGUCGCCGAGCCCCGAGGCGCGGCCCCCGCGCGUCGUCCGCGCGCCACCGCGGCGGCCCCCGCCCCGCGCGCCCGGCCCGCUGCCGUGGGCGGAGCGCCGGCCCGCCGUGUCCGUCGACCUCGACCGCGGCCGCCGCGCGGCCCGCGCCGAGGUGGACGGCGUCCGCGCCGCGUCGCUCCCCGCGCGGCACCGCCGGCGCGUGGAGGGCACCCGGUGGCAGCGGGACUGGAAGGUGUCCGAGGCCGCCGCGCGCGUGCUCGCGCUUCCCCCCGCCGACGCGCACGCCGUCGACGCCGUGCUCAACUGCUGGGCCGGCCGCUACUCCCGCCGCAAUUUCCCGCUCCUCAUCCGCGAAAUCACAAUUUCUGGAUCCUUGAAACAUGCUGUACAUGUGUUCCGCUGGAUGAAAAAUCAGGAGAAUUAUUGUGCUCGUAAUGACAUUUAUGGCAUGAUGAUAAGGUUACAUGCUAGACACAAUCAGGUCGAUCAGGCACGUGGUUUGUUCUUUGAGAUGCAAGAAUGGCGGUGCAAACCUGAUGCUGAUACAUACAACUCUUUGAUCCAUGCUCAUGCUCGAGCUGGCCAGUGGCGUUGGGCCAUCAAUAUUAUGGAAGAUAUGCAACGUGCUGCUAUACCUCCUAGUCGAACGACAUAUAACAAUGUAAUAAAUGCAUGUGGAGCUGCUGGUAACUGGAAGAAAGCUUUAGAGCUUUGUAAGAAGAUGACUGAAAAUGGUGUAGGACCAGAUUUGAUCACACACAACAUUGUUUUGUCCGCUUUCAAGAAUGGAGCUCAGUAUUCGAAAGCCAUAGCUUACUUUGAAAUUAUGCAAUCAUCUAAUGUUGCCCCUGAUACAUUCACUUGGAAUAUUGUGAUCCAUUGCCUUGUAAAGGUUGGGCAGUAUGGAGAAGCUAUUAAGUUGUUUAACUCAAUGAGGGAAAAAAGAACAAUAUGUCCUCCAGAUGUUGUUACAUAUACGAGCAUAAUGUAUUCUUAUUCUGUUUGUGGGCAAGCUGAAAAUUGCAAGGCAGUCUUUGAUAUGAUGGUUGCUGAAGGUGUCAGGCCUAACAUUGUAUCCUAUAAUGCACUUUUGGGUGCUUAUGCCUCACAUGGUAUGCACAAGGAGGCCUUGGAAACUUUUAAAUUACUGAAGCAAAAUGGAUUGAGACCUGAUAUAGUUUCCUAUACCUCCUUACUUAAUGCUUAUGGUAGAUCUGCACAACCUGAGAAGGCUAGGGAGGUCUUUAAUGAGAUGAGAAAGAAUUCGUGCAAGCCAAACAAAGUCAGUUACAAUGCACUUAUUGAUGCUUAUGGAUCUGCUGGAAUGUUGAAGGAAGCUAUUAGUUUGCUGCAUGAAAUGGAGAGAGAUGGCAUUCAACCGGAUGUUGUUUCAAUAAGUACACUGUUAACAGCAUGUGGUCGCUGCAGACAAGUAACUAAAAUUGACGCAAUCCUUGCAGCAGCAAAGUCUCGAGCGAUCGAACUAAAUACAGUUGCUUACAACUCAGGCAUCGGAAGCUAUUUAAGUUUGGGUGAUUAUGAGAAAGCUUUGGAGUUGUACGCAUUAAUGAGGACACGCAAUGUGAAGCCAGAUGCUGUAACUUACAAUGUACUCAUUAGUGGAUCAUGUAAAUUGGGAAAGUAUGCAGAAUCUCUGAAAUUUUUUGAAGACAUGAUGGACCUGAAAAUUCAUUUGACCAAGGAAGUCUACUCGUCUGUCAUUUGUUCAUAUGUCAAACAAGGAAAACUAAGCGAAGCAGAAUCUAUGUUUAGUUCUAUGAAAGAAUCUGGUUGCUUCCCCGAUGUUUUGACAUAUACUGCAAUGAUUAAAGCCUAUAGCGAUGAUGGGAGCUGGAGGAGAGCGUGGGACCUAUUCAAAGAGAUGGAAAGUAAUGAUGUGCAACCAGAUGCCAUUGUAUGUUCAUCCCUCAUGGAAGCAUUGAAUAAUGGAAGCCAACCUGAAAGGGUCCUACAGUUGAUGAAAUUCAUGAAGCAAAAACAGAUACCGUUGAACCAAAAGGCUUAUUUUGAGAUAAUAGCUUCAUGCAGCAUGCUACGGGAAUGGAAAACAGCCAGCGAAAUAAUUGAGCAAUUGGAUUCCUCCCUCUCAUCCAUUUCUGUUGGCACACUAAACCAUCUUUUGAAUUUUCUUGGAAAAUGUGGCAAGACAGAGAGCAUGAUGAAGCUGUUCUAUAAGAUGGUGACUUCAUGCUCUACUGUGGGCCUUUCUACUUAUGCGGUUCUGCUGAGAAACCUUUUAGUUGUUGGGAAAUGGAGAAAGUAUAUUGAGGUGUUGCAGUGGAUGGAAGAUGCUGGUGUCCGUCCAACACUAUAUAUGUAUCAAAGUGUACUUCCAUAUAUCUGGAGAGACAACAGUAUGGACUAUGUUACUCUCCUGCAAGAAAAAAUAAGUGAACAAUGCAUGUUUUCCUGGAUGACACAUUUUAUCUUUGCUCAUAUCAGAUGCAUUGAGAGAGAAGGUAACAUGACUCCAGAUAUUUCUGCAUUUGUUUGAUAUGUACUACUAGAAGUCUAUAACUGAAUAUGGAAGGUGACAUCAGAUUGAAGCUAGCAGCAUUCAGGGAGGACAGGAUUGUGAGUGUGCCCUAGUUGGCAUGGAAGCAACUUCCUCAUUAUUGAGAAAAAUGGACAUAGGACUUCGAGAACUGAGAAAUUGACAUGAUUCUACAAUUGCGAGGUUGGCUUGGAAAAAGCAUGACCUCAUGAAUCAUCUCUAUGGCUAAGAUGAGAGAAAUUGGGAUACUCGUUAACUCUAUGGCUUGGCUCGGAAAAAUUAAGUUAGUCUAGUAGAGCAGAGUCUUCCAUUCUCCAUCCUAGACUUUACAAUCUUGUAUGGCCAUUGUAGUAGCAGUUCUUGGACAUUGUAAUUUGUCAAUGUCUUUCAAAUAAGCAGUUUUCCCAUCCUGUGUCAUAUUGGUUUGAGAAUAAUUUUGUUGUGACGAUGAUAGGGAACACUGUAUAAGGCUUUAUGAAAAAUAGAGAGAUGGCCGUAUGAACAAA